UACGUAUGGUGCAUGCGUUAUCCGGAUUUACUGGGUGUAAAGGGAGCGCAGGCGGCACGGCAAGCCUGAUGUGAAAGCCCGCGGCCCAACCGCGGGACUGCAUUGGGAACUACCGGGCUGGAGUGCCGGAGAGGUAGGCGGAAUUCCUAGUGUAGCGGUGAAAUGCGUAGAUAUUAGGAGGAACACCAGUGGCGAAGGCGGCCUACUGGACGGUGACUGACGCUGAGGCUCGAAAGCGUGGGGAGCAAACAGG
rnacentral:rRNA from 1 species